AUUGAACGCUGGCGGCAUGCUUUACACAUGCAAGUCGAACGGUAACAGGGUGCCUGCACCGCUGACGAGUGGCGAACGGGUGAGUAAUGCGUCGGAACGUGCCGAGUAGUGAGGGAUAACGCAGCGAAAGUUGUGCUAAUACCGCAUACGUACUGAGGUAGAAAGUGGGGGACCUUCGGGCCUCACGCUAUUCGAGCGGCCGACGUCUGAUUAGCUAGUAGGUGAGGUAAAGGCUCACCUAGGCGACGAUCAGUAGCGGGUCUGAGAGGAUGAGCCGCCACACUGGGACUGAGACACGGCCCAGACUCCUACGGGAGGCAGCAGUGGGGAAUUUUGGACAAUGGGCGAAAGCCUGAUCCAGCCAUGCCGCGUGUCUGAAGAAGGCCUUCGGGUUGUAAAGGACUUUUGCCGGGGAGGAAAUCCCCAGCGUUAAUACCGCUGGGGGAUGACAGUACCUGAAGAAUAAGCACCGGCUAACUACGUGCCAGCCGCCGCGGUAACAC
rnacentral:rRNA from 1 species